rnacentral:misc_RNA from 1 species
GAUGAAGAACGCAGCGAAAUGCGAUAAGUAAUGUGAAUUGCAGAAUUCAGUGAAUCAUCGAAUCUUUGAACGCACCUUGCGCUCCUUGGUAUUCCGAGGAGCAUGCCUGUUUGAGUGUCAUGAAAUUCUCAACCUUUUCAGCUUUCUUUGUUGAUCAGGCUUGGAUGUGGGAGUAUGCGGGCUUCUCAGAAGUCGGCUCUCCUGAAAUGCAUUAGCGGGACCUUUGUUGCCUGGCUUUGGUGUGAUAAUUAUCUACGCCAUUGUAGUCAAGCAGCUUAAAAUGAGGUUUCAGUUUCUAACCGUCUCCCCUGAGACAACUUUUUGACAAUUUGACCUCAAAUCAGGUAGGACUACCCGCUGAACUUAAGCAUAUCAAUAAGCGGAGGA